rnacentral:rRNA from 1 species
UGAGUAACGCGUGAGGAACCUGCCUUCCAGAGGGGGACAACAGUUGGAAACGACUGCUAAUACCGCAUGACACAUUUGAAUCGCAUGGUUUGAAUGUCAAAGAUUUAUCGCUGGAAGAUGGCCUCGCGUCUGAUUAGCUAGUAGGUGGGGUAACGGCCCACCUAGGCGACGAUCAGUAGCCGGACUGAGAGGUUGACCGGCCACAUUGGGACUGAGAUACGGCCCAGACUCCUACGGGAGGCAGCAG